rnacentral:rRNA from 1 species
GAGUUUGAUCCUGGCUCAGGAUUAACGCUAGCGGGAUGCCUAAUACAUGCAAGUCGAACGAGGGUAUAAUUUAUUAUGCUCAAGUGGCGAACGGGUGAGUAACACGUAUCCAACAUACCCUUAAGAGAGGAAUAACCAGUUGAAAAACUAGCUAAUGCCUCAUAGGACAUUUGGUCGCAUGAUCGAAUGUUUAAAGUUCCGUUUGGAACGCUUUUGGAUUGGGGUGCGUUGUAUUAGAUAGUUGGUGAGGUAGUGGCUCACCAAGUCGAUGAUGCAUAGCUGUGCUGAGAGGCAGAACAGCCACAAUGGGACUGAGACACGGCCCAUACUCCUACGGGAGGCAGCAGUAGGGAAUUUUCCACAAUGGGCGAAAGCCUGAUGGAGCAAUCCCGCGUGAACGAUGAAGGUCCUACAAGAUUGUAAAGUUCUUUUAUUUGAGACGAAAAACUAAGAUAGGAAAUGAUUUUAGCUUGACUGUAUCAUUUGAAUAAGUAUCGGCUAACUAUGUGCCAGCAGCCGCGGUAAUACAUAGGAUGCAAGCGUUAUCCGGAUUUACUGGGCGUAAAGCGAGCGCAGGCGGAUUUACAAGUCUGGUGUGAAAGACAAUUGCUUAACAAUUGUUUGCAUUGGAAACUGUAAGUCUAGAGUAUAGUAGGGAGUUCUGGAACUCCAUGUGGAGCGGUGGAAUGCGUAGAUAUAUGGAAGAACACCAGUGGCGAAGGCGAGAACUUUGGCUAUAACUGACGCUUAGGCUCGAAAGUGUGGGGAGCAAAUAGGAUUAGAUACCCUAGUAGUCCACACUGUAAACGAUGGUAAUUAGGUGUCGGCACGGUAAUGUGUCGGUGCUACAGUUAACACAUUAAAUUACCCGCCUGGGUAGUACAUUCGCAAGAAUGAAACUCAAACG